UAGAGGAAGUAAAAUGCUCGUAACAAAGGUUUCCGUAGGUGAACCUGCGGAAGGAUCAUGUAUCGUACAACGGAGGCGCAAGGGCUGUCGCUGACCUUUUCGAAGGUCGUGCACGCCCGUGUGCUCUCUCAUCCAUCUCUCACCCCUUUGUGCAUCACCGCGUGGGUCCCCCCUCACGGAGGGCUCGCGUUUCCACAUAAAACUCAACACAGUAUUAGAAUGUUUUCUUAUUCAUUUUUGCGGUCACACGCAAUCAAUACAACUUUCAACAACGGAUCUCUUGGCUCUCGCAUCGAUGAAGAACGCAGCGAAAUGCGAUACGUAAUGUGAAUUGCAGAAUUCAGUGAAUCAUCGAAUCUUUGAACGCACCUUGCGCCCCUUGGCAUUCCGAGGGGCACACCCGUUUGAGUGUCGUGAAACCAUCAAAACCCUCCUUUCUUUAUGGAAAAGGGGAUUUUGGACUUGGAGGCUUUGAUGCUCGCUUUCGAAAGCGAAAGCGAGCUCCUCUCAAAUGAAUUAGUAGGGUUUGCUUCGCCGAUCCUUGACGUGAUAAGAUGUUUUUAUUGCUAUUAUACGUUUUUGAUCUGGUGCUGUGCCUGCUUCCAACCGUCCCACGGACGACGAUGGUGCUUCGGUCGCCGCCAUCCACAUUGGCGGGAGGCUGGACCCACAAAAAGACCUGACCUCAAAUCGGGUGAGACUACCCGCUGAACUUAAGCAUAUCAAUAAGCGGAGGAAAAGAAACUAACAAGGAUUCCCCUAGUAACUGCGAGUGAAGCGGGAAAAGCUCAAAUUUAAAAUCUGGUGGUCUUUGG
rnacentral:rRNA from 1 species